rnacentral:rRNA from 1 species
UACGGGGGGGCAAGCGUUGUUCGGAAUUACGUGGCGUAAAGCGCGCGUAGGCGGCUUUGUAAGUUAGAGGUGAAAGCCCGGGGCUCAACUCCGGAAUUGCCUUUAAAACUGCAUCGCUAGAAUUGUGGAGAGGUGAGUGGAAUUCCGAGUGUAGAGGUGAAAUUCGUAGAUAUUCGGAAGAACACCAGUGGCGAAGGCGACACACUGGCCCGUUACUGACGCUGAGGCGCGAAAGCGCGGGGAGCAAACAGG